rnacentral:rRNA from 1 species
UUCCAGCUCCAAUAGCGUAUAUUAAAGUUGUUGCGGUUAAAAAGCUCGUAGUUGAAUUUGUGUCCCGCGCUGUCGGUUCACCGCCCGCGGUGUUUAACUGGCACGAUCGCGGGACGUCCUGCCGGUGGAUGUGUGUGGUGCAAUGUUUCGGCACUGUGUCACCGCAUCCGACUCAACAAUCCUGUCGCGGUGCUCUUAAUUGAGUGUCGAGGCGGGCCGGCACGUUUACUUUGAACAAAUUAGAGUGCUCAAAGCAGGCUAAAAUUUCGCCUGAAUACUGUGUGCAUGGAAUAAUGGAACAGGACCUCGGUUCUAUUUUGUUGGUUUUCGGAACCCCGAGGUAAUGAUUAAUAGGGACAGAUGG